rnacentral:rRNA from 1 species
UACGUAGGGUGCAAGCGUUAUCCGGAAUUAUUGGGCGUAAAGAGCUCGUAGGCGGUUUUGUCGCGUCUGCUGUGAAAACUGGGGGGCUCAACCCCCCAGCCUGCAGUGGGUACGGGGCAGACUAGAGUGCGGUAGGGGAGAUUGGAAUUCCUGGUGUAGCGGUGGAAUGCGCAGAUAUCAGGAGGAACACCGAUGGCGAAGGCAGAUCUCUGGGCCGUAACUGACGCUGAGGAGCGAAAGCAUGGGGGAGCGAACAGG